CUACGGGCCGCACCAGUGGGGAAUAUUGGACAAUGGACGAAAGUCCGAUCCAGCGACACCGCGUGGGGGAUGAAGGCUUUCGGGUUGUAAACCCCUUUUCUGGAGGAAGAAUAAGGUUGGGAGGAAAUGCCCAUCCGAUGACGGUACUCCAGGAAUAAGCAUCGGCAAACUUCGUGCCAGCAGCCGCGGUAAGACGAAGGAUGCGAGCGUUAUCCGGAAUUACUGGGCGUAAAGGACGUCUAGGCGGUUGGAUAAGUCAUUUGUGAAAUCCCAGGGCUUAACCCUGGAAGGUCUUGUGAUACUGUCCGGCUUGGGUGUAGGAGAGGAGAGCGGAACUCACAGAGUAGCGGUGGAAUGCGUAGAUACUGUGAGGUACCCCGAUGGCGAAGGCAGCUCUCUGGCCUACUACCGACGCUGAAGCGUGAAAGCGUGGGGAGCAAAGGGGAUUAGAUACCCCCGUAGUC
rnacentral:rRNA from 1 species